rnacentral:lncRNA from 1 species
CACAAGAUCUCAAGAGGUCUUCUAAUUCAUCCCUGCUGAGACAGGAUUCAGUACCACUCAUCUGAGGCUGGUUGGUGUCUCUGGCUUGACUUAAUCUCUUGCAAUGCACCAAAAGCUCCCUCUUUAAAUAGUUCCAGUUGACCAUCACGUAAGUUAUAGACUAUGCUUACAAUUAUAAAAAAAUGAAGAAAUCAGUGAAUCAAGUUACACAGAAAAUUGACUCUUAGGGAAAAAAAGAUAUAUGCUUUUAAUAAAAAAAAUCAUUUUUCUAAUUAACCGAGGGUUAGCUGGAAUGCGUUAACCACCGCUAACACUGGUGCUUGUUGCUCAUCUACUGACCUCCCUGUGCAGAUAUAUAGCUGUGCUACUGGAUUUACUUGUGCUACUUCUUCCCUAGAAACAAGACAGCCCUUCAGUCUGAAAAAGAAGGGGAGACAGAUUUGUAGUGCUAUAAAUUGUGAUGGUCUGUGACAUCCCACUGAUUGCUUAUUUGAUAAUCUUCAUUCUGACAUAUCAAGCAGUGCUGAAGUGGCCUUUGGAGAUCUCUGGAAAGCUGCACUGGACAACACUUUACUGGAGAAGAAUAACCAUAUCUGGUGUUAUUUUCCAGCAGAAUUCGUUUUGUUGAGGACACAAAACAAAAGCCUUUCUGUCACUGGACAUGCCAUUCGCCUGUGCUGCAGCCAGCCUUUGGCCUUCCAGAUUUGCUGAGUGUGCUCCAAGGGACUGCAGCAGUGCUUUGCUGCUAACUCUUGCCCUGCUUCCCGGAGAGCCAUUGUGCUGCACUGUGAGCAGGCAGGAUACUCGCCCCAGAGUGAGCAGCGAUGGAGGGACUGACACCGAAACCGCUGGAGACGUUACAGCAUCAUUCCCACAAGCAGCCUUUCAUUGGCAUCUGUGUCCCACAUUCUGCCCUCUCCCUUUCUGGUACCUGAGACUUCAGGUGCAUUAA